UACGUAGGGUGCGAGCGUUAUUCGGAAUUACUGGGCGUAAAGCGUGCGCAGGCGGCUUCGCAAGUCAGGCGUGAAAUCCCCGGGCUUAACCUGGGAAUGGCGUCUGAAACUACGGAGCUGGAGUGUGGCAGAGGGAGGUAGAAUUCCACGUGUAGCGGUGAAAUGCGUAGAUAUGUGGAGGAAUACCGAUGGCGAAGGCAGCCUCCUGGGCCAACACUGACGCUCAUGCACGAAAGCGUGGGGAGCAAACAGG
rnacentral:rRNA from 1 species